GAUGAACGCUGGCGGCGUGCCUAUACAUGCAAGUCGAGCGAACGGACGAGAAGCUUGCUUCUCUGAUGUUAGCGGCGGACGGGUGAGUAACACGUGGAUAACCUACCUAUAAGACUGAGAUAACUUCGGGAAACCGGAGCUAAUACCGGAUAAUAUUUUGAACCGCAUGGUUCAAAAGUGAAAGACGGUCUUGCUGUCACUUAUAGAUGGAUCCGCGCUGCAUUAGCUAGUUGGUAAGGUAACGGCUUACCAAGGCAACGAUGCAUAGCCGACCUGAGAGGGUGAUCGGCCACACUGGAACUGAGACACGGUCCAGACUCCUACGGGAGGCAGCAGUAGGGAAUCUUCCGCAAUGGGCGAAAGCCUGACGGAGCAACGCCGCGUGAGUGAUGAAGGUCUUCGGAUCGUAAAACUCUGUUAUUAGGGAAGAACAUAUGUGUAAGUAACUGUGCACAUCUUGACGGUACCUAAUCAGAAAGCCACGGCUAACUACGUG
rnacentral:rRNA from 1 species